AGUGAACGCUGGCGGUAGGCCUAACACAUGCAAGUCGAACGGCAGCACAGUAAGAGCUUGCUCUUACGGGUGGCGAGUGGCGGACGGGCGAGGAAUACAUCGGAAUCUACUUUUUCGUGGGGGAUAACGUAGGGAAACUUACGCUAAUACCGCAUACGACCUACGGGUGAAAGCAGGGGAUCUUCGGACCUUGCGCGAUUGAAUGAGCCGAUGUCGGAUUAGCUAGUUGGCGGGGUAAAGGCCCACCAAGGCGACGAUCCGUAGCUGGUCUGAGAGGAUGAUCAGCCACACUGGAACUGAGACACGGUCCAGACUCCUACGGGAGGCAGAAGUGGGGAAUAUUGGACAAUGGGCGCAAGCCUGAUCCAGCCAUACCGCGUGGGUGAAGAAGGCCUUCGGGUUGUAAAGCCCUUUUGUUGGGAAAGAAAAGCAGCAGGUUAAUACCCCGCUGUUCUGACGGUACCCAAAGAAUAAGCACCGGCUAACUUCGUG
rnacentral:rRNA from 1 species